rnacentral:lncRNA from 1 species
GUAAAUUUACCGCUUUUUUAAUCUGUUUUUUCCUGGAGUUUUUUUUUGCGGGGGGGGGGCGUUAAUACUGUCGCAGAGGAAAAGCUGCGAGGUCAUUGUAACUUUUGUUUCCCCCUUUCAUAGGAAAGCAAACGUUUAAAAAUAAAAUGUGAAACCAAUUUUGAACCCUGUCAGCAGCUUGAGGGUCUAAAAGAGUCACAGUGUGAACACCUUGAUUGGUGUGUAGCUUCUGCAACGCUGUGUGACCUUGGGCGAGUCAAUUAAGCUCUCGGGGCGUAUAUUUCACUUCCUCCUCAUAAAGAAGGAGGGAGAAUAUUGUAAUUAGUAGCAAGGGAAAGCUUGACACUGACCACCAAGGCUGCAAAUGUUGAUGGAAUGAAUUCCAGGUUUAGCAGGGAAUGUCUAUCCAGGUGAACUCCAUGAAACGAAUGAAGGCUCAUUAGGAGAAGGGGUGAGGAAUAAGCGACAUGAUGACUGAAAUGCUGGAAAAAUAAUAUUUUCAUCAUUGAAAACUUCUAGGGCUGACAAUGCAGCUCUGUUGGCAUAUUGCUUACCUAGCAUGCCUGAUGGAGCAUGUCUGUAAUUCCAGCACUCAGAAAACAGGCAGGGGCCUCUUUGUGAACAUGAGAUCAGCCUACUGUGGGGAGCUCCAGGCCAGCCAGAACUACAAACAAGACCUAGAGGACAUGUAACCAUAAAGAGACUCAACACUCAGGAGGCAGAGGCAGGCAGACCUCUGUGAGUCUGAGUCCAGCCUGGUCUACAAAGCAAGUACCCUGACAGCCAGAACUACAAAGAGAAACCUUGUCUGGAAGAAGAGGAGGGGCAGACUGAUUCAACCUUGUGUCCCUGGGUGGUCUUGAACUCUGAGAGAUCCAUCUACCUCUAAUCCUGACUUGUACAACUAAAGAAAGAUAAAGGACCUGCUAGUUGUUCAUUCCAGGAGACUGGAUGUCUCAGCUGUCACAAUUUGCUGCUAAGGUCAAGAAGUCCCAGAGAGCUGCUGGGUUUAGUCUUCCUUGGAAUCCUGAAGUAGUAGUUCUAAUACCACUGAAGAAAUACCUUAGGAAUGGAAUAGAUGGGAAAAGUGAAAGCUUCCUUCUUCCAGGUCCUUUUAUGUGCACUGCUAUCAGGAGAUGUGGCCCAGAUUCAGGAUGGAUCCUCUACCUCAAAUAAUCCAACCAAGACAAGAUCCUGAC